UAAACAUAUACCAAAGAGAGAGAAAAAAACAAGAAAAAAUCAAGAGUAAUAAAGUUCUCUAGCUCUUAGUUUCUAAAGUUAAUAUUUUCCUUCAAAACAAAAAAGAGUGUGUGAAAAAUGUGAAAAAAAAUUUUUGUUCUUAAUUUUUCGGUAGCUGUCAAGUUUUCAGGGGACUCCCGAAAGGAAAACCUCACUUCUUCCUUAAGACAUGUGUGUGCUGAGAAGGGUGGGACAUCCACCAGUGAGCCACUGUUUUAGAGAGCAAAACAAUGUUGCAGACUGGUUGGCUAAACAAGGAACGAAAAGGAAAAACUUUGGACGCACUAACUUUUUGGCAGUUCCUUCGGUGUAUUCACAACAACAUGUCUGGACAGACAUUCUAUGAACUGAUUAUACUAGAAAAAUCAAUCCUUGUACUAAUUAUCAGGACCCUAAUACUCAUAUUUUUGUACCCGACUAGGAAGUCGACAGUCUGUACUAAACCUAUUUUGUUCUUAAUAUAUCCUUACUUACCAAAAAAAAAAAAAAAGAUUCGAUGAUUCAGAUUAGGACAUGUUGAGAUCAAAGUUUCAACCAACUUGGCGGUAAUGAAGAUUUUUCGUCAAAAAGAAAAAGGAAGUUCAAAUACUACAUGUGGAGCGAAUUCUCAAUCAUAUUUUCAACAACUUGUUGCUACAUAUUUUAAAAAUAAAGCUCACUUUUAAUGGACUCCAAUAUUUUUAAUCCAAAAGGGUUCAUAAACAACA